rnacentral:rRNA from 1 species
UACGGGGGGGGCAAGCGUUGUUCGGAAUUACUGGGCGUAAAGGGCGCGUAGGCGGUGCGCUAAGUCGGAUGUGAAAACUCUGGGCUCAACCCAGAGCCUGCAUCCGAAACUGGCGUGCUAGAGUUCUGGAGGGGAUAGCGGAAUUCCUGGUGUAGCGGUGAAAUGCGUAGAUAUCAGGAGGAACACCGGUGGCGAAGGCGGCUAUCUGGACAGAAACUGACGCUGAGGCGCGAAAGCUAGGGGAGCAAACAGG